UUGGUGGAUCUGCUGGGGAGAUCUGGGAAGCUGGACAAGGCCAGUGUCGAGCCAAAUUUCAGCGCUGGAGAAUGAAAGAGUGGGGAAAAGUCCGAUGCUAGUUCGACCUGUCCUCUGGGCUGGAGAUCAUGACUCACAGCCAUUCGAAGGUUGUGGAUUCGAACCUGUGACUUUGCCAAACGCACAAAUUAUCCAAUUCUGACAUUGGGAGGUACUGACAAUAAAUAAUAAUACUGGGCUUUCAAAAUUUGGUAAUUGGAAUGAGUACAAUAUAAAUCUCUUAAGGAAGAUUCAUUAGAGGGCAAGUCUAGUGCCAAUAGCUAUAGUAAUUCUAAUUCUAAUAACAUGUUAUUAUAGUUAAAAAGCUCAUUUGGAUCUCAGGACAAGAUGAAUGGUUUCCCUAUAUGCACUAGUCACCCCAUUCUAUGAGUCAAUGAUGCUAAUUUGAUCUUUACUGGCUAAUGUGGAGUCGACAAUGUUAUUUUGAAAAAAUUAAAGUACCCAAAACAGACUCAUACUCUAAAUACAUUAGUAUGGAGUAAUGUAAUAGGACUCUGAUCCUGUUGUGUUGGUCUCCAAGAUAUGAGUAAUGAUUAGUAGGGACAAUUGGGGGCAUUUGUACUCUAUUGUUAGAGAUGAAAUUCUUAAGCAUUUGCUGAGGAUGCUUUUAUUAAUCAAGAAUGAAAGUUAGGAGCUCAAAUACGAUUAAAUACCAUUUUAGUCUUAACCAUAGAUGAUGAUGAUUAGGGAUUGGCAGAUGUUAUUUGGAUAACAACGCCAUCACCUCAUGAAAAAUCAAAGUCUUUGAGUUCCA
rnacentral:ncRNA from 1 species